rnacentral:sRNA from 1 species
AAAACAAUACAAAAAAAA